UUCUGGGGGCUAGAGGAAUCCAGCUUGACCCUGUUAGGAAGUCAGUUUGGAAAAGAAUGGUUCCUUUUUCCUUUGUCUCUUUUAAUUUGGUUUGUUCCUUUUCCCCUUUGGGCAGCAUCCAUUUCUCCAGUCAGCGGAGCCUCUCUUAAGCCUCUUCUGACAGCCUGAUCGCUGUCAUCCCUGCAGCCAAGUCAUGCAGGAAGCAAAGGAGAUGACAAGGACCACUUCAGCACUUGGAGAACUGAACCUGUGAGAACAGAUCACAUGGGCCCCUGCCAUCUAAAUCCCAACUCUAAGGGCUUUUCAAAUGAAAAGGAAGGAAACUUGCAGCGAAGCAAUCAAGGAAGCAGAAGAGAUGACCAGGACCACUUCAGGAUUACUUCCUCCAAAGGCAGCUUGGAGCUGGACUCACAAUAAAAGUCCUAUACACCCCCAA